ACUUUUUAUUUGUAGUUUACUUGAGUGUCCUUGCACUUUUCAGGAGUUAAGGCAGAUGUGGAGGCACAACGGGUGACACCAGACACAGCCAAGCACAUUAUGUUCGGACAUUCAAUCAUGACAGGAUCCAGGUGGAUGCUGUCCAUUGAGGAAAGAGUUUGUUCAGCGGUUUCUGGAUAGAAUUAAUUCCAAAGAUGGGAAGAAGUGCACAUCCAGACAAGGAGCAAGCAAAAAGACAAGGAACUUGGUGCAGAGAAAAGCUGUGGCCAUUAACCCCUGUGAACAGCUUCAUGCAGUCGCUGAUUGAGUUCGAAUGGACGACUUCAAAGUAAAGGCCACUGUGGUCUGUCUGCCACAGUUUAAUUUUAAAUUUAUUUUUAGUGUUCAAUGAAAUUCAAGUAGAAUAUUUAAAACUAUGGGCCAGUGUUGUUUUUACCACAGUGAAAUGUUACCUUUUAGUCGAUGAUGGACUUUAAACUGAAAACUUCAAACUAUGGACCAGUGUUCUAUUUGCCAGAGUUAAAUAUGUUACAGCAGGGGUCUCCAAACUUGU